rnacentral:rRNA from 1 species
GGCGGACGGGUGAGUAACGCGUGGGUAACCUGCCUCAUACAGGGGGAUAACAGUUAGAAAUGACUGCUAAUACCGCAUAAGCGCACGGUUUCGCAUGGAACAGUGUGAAAAACUCCGGUGGUAUGGGAUGGACCCGCGUCUGAUUAGCUGGUUGGCGGGGUAACGGCCCACCAAGGCGACGAUCAGUAGCCGGCCUGAGAGGGUGAACGGCCACAUUGGGACUGAGACACGGCCCAA